rnacentral:rRNA from 1 species
GGACCCGCACAAGUAGUGGAGCAUGUGGUUUAAUUCGAAGAUACGCGCAGAACCUUACCAACACUUGACAUGUUCGUCGCGACUUUAAGAGAUUAAAGUUUUCGGUUCGGCCGGACGAAACACAGGUGCUGCAUGGCUGUCGUCAGCUCGUGUCGUGAGAUGUUGGGUUAAGUCCCGCAACGAGCGCAACCCUCACUUUUAGUUGCCAUCAUUAAGUUGGGCACUCUGAAAGAACUGCCAGUGAUAAGCUGGAGGAAGGUGGGGAUGACGUCAAGUCCUCAUGGCCCUUACGUGUUGGGCUACACACGUGCUACAAUGGUAUUUACAACAGGAAGCAAGACGGCGACGUUAAGCAAAUCCUUAAAAAGUUACCUCAGUUCGGAUUGCACUCUGCAACUCGAGUGCAUGAAGUUGGAAUCGCUAGUAAUCGUAGAUC